ACUCACUCCAUCUCUGAGAAGACCAGACAGGGAUGAAACUUUAUGAAUUAGAUCAUUGGUACUCCAUGAACUGUAGGUGCAGAACACUGUUGUUGUUGUUGUGGUCCUCAUUACCAUAAGACCAGGUUAGGUUAACACUGAGGUGAUUCUUCGGGUCUGUACGUUUGUGUGGACGGAUAGAUGCAGCACAGACAUGAAGAAAUACCAGUUGAGCGGAAGAUUUAGUCUUAAAAAGUCUCUUGUUUUCCUUCUCUCUGUCUGUCUGUCUGUCUCCACACCUUCACCUUAAUCACCCCCUAUUCACAGAAACACAAUCUCUCAAUCCCAGCAUGCAUUUCUUCACUAAGGAAAGUCGUGUUUCCAGGUCACAAGACAAGAUUAGAGAAAGACAUUUCCUGAGUAGGUGUGACAUACUGCGAUUGUAUCGUAUCUAUCUGACAAUAGUAACGUAUACUCCAGGUGAACGAUCGAAAAAGGAAGAACAAUAGCUUCUUAUCAGGACGAAGAACUGGUGCAGCAUGUUUUGUGUUCGGAGAGAAACAUUACACUGUUGUCUUACAUCUGUCUUGGAUACAGCAGAGUGGGACCAUUAUGUCACGUCACCUCAAAGUUUUACUAAGUAUUGUAUCACUUACACCUGUCUCCCUCCUCAACGUUUAAGGAUAAGUGCAAAUAUAUCUUGAUGUUUCUGGCCACGUGUGAUGAGUCAACAGCUGCCAGAGUAACUCGAGGGACUUUGUUUGCACUGUCAAAAGUCUUUAUGUACAAAGUAUUACGAAGUCUCACUGAAAGUGCAAAGUCAACGGCUUGUAUUUAACUUGCUGUGCAGAGGUCAUCUGUUAAAGGACAGGAUUUAAAGUACGUGAACAAAAGUAUGACACAUUUACGUCAACAUAUUUCAGGUUAAAUAUUUUUAUAUAGACCAGGGCAUUAAAAAAACCCCUCCUAGUUUUAGAGCCUGUUUUGUUAACAUUAUCUAGUGGUGUUUUUUUAGAUGGGCGUACCUGCUCAGAAAGGUUCUCCCAUCAAAGAAAACAGCGUUACAAGUUCCAGGUUUCAGCUCUUUUAACCUGAACAGCAGGUUUUAAGGUUUUCAGCUUUCAGUUAGUUUAGACAACCAGACCGUCAGAGAAAUCUCUGAGUCAAAAGUGAAUCUCAAACACUGGUCUUGUGACAGGAAGAAGACGAUGUCCACAAGACUGUGUGCAUCUGUGCAGUUCAAAAGGUCAAAGAAACCAACAUGACAGCUUUCAACUAUAUCACAUCUGAGAGCUUCCGUUCAGUCCUGGGUUCUGACUUAUUUACUUUGCUCUCUGGAAAGCACAACCUUGUGGAUAAUCAUUAAACAAACCCUGGGUCACACGUUCAAGUCCUGAGUGUUUAAGUCUGUUCCAAAUAAUGUGACAGAACAUGGAGAGGAGGUGAGGAAGGUGACAACAUGGUGUCUCAACAAUCAUGAGUUCCACCGAUGACAAACCAUGUCUCCUGGUUCGACAGUCGACCAAGGUGACGUGAAAACAUAAUCCCAAGAAUUCCCUUCACCACAGUACAAUCCAACAGUAACAUUACUUCGACUACAGCUAACGUCCUAUGGAUUCACAUUUGCACCGGGUGAAGACUGCACUUUUGAACAGUCAAUAAAUUACAGCUUCUUGGUGUUGAAAAUAAAUUCUCACUGAUGCCUGUUUCUGUUGCAGUUCUCCCUGUUGGGCCGUCCCAACCCAUGGUGUGGGUUCACACCCAAAUUUCCAGAACAGGACAACAAAUGUCAGAAAAGAUUCAUGGCUGGAUUUUUUCCCCUCACAUUUGGUCUGGGUGGUGUUCAGAAAGUCACAGGCAUAAAAAUGCUUCAGAAAACACCCAACUGAACACUGCCUCAGUGUUUGACAUUGGGACAUUAGAGAAUCAUGGUUGAAUCGUACACACGUGACUCAUAAUUACCAUCUGCUUUUCUGUACACUGUAAACAUCACGAGACCAAAAUCAACUAUUUUCAAUUGACAUUGAUCAAAACCUCUGACUGUGGCUUCAACGCCACAACAAUGAGAAGAAGGAGAAAGAGAAUGUAGCUCUGGUUACAGGCUGAACAACAAACAGACACUUCUGUUUUUAAUACUGAUAGAUGAAGAAAAAGCUUCGAGACGAAUGUGUUUUUACAAAAGUAACGCCAACCAGGACAGAAGGGAAAUGACAGGUGGGAAACAGAAGAGUCCAGAACAGGGGUGUCCACGGUUUGUUGGCACGGGAGCUACUUUUCAAACGACCAGAACAAAGUGAUCUAUUCUUAGAACCAAUCGGUGGUGGUUUGGUCUGGAUGACAGUUCAUGUCCAGUUUUUUACUCUGACCAAACCAAAAGCCCAACAAGGAAAAAAGGCUCAUGACAUGGAUUUAUAUCUUUAUAUGUAUGUGUUUGUACUUUAGCCCGACUUGCACACCUUCAUUCUGUAGCUCAUUAAAAAAAAGGUGGUUUUGUUUUAUUGUGGCUACACUAUAAAGACAGUAACUUUCUGAACUUUCUCAGUGCCAGUCUUUUACAAACACACAGAUCAAAUGCUGAGCUGGAGUGUAACUGUUUACAGUGCAACAGUCACGCAACACCCACCGCUCCAAAGACUUACAAUUUUAUUGUAAAGGUUGGAAGUGAAAGCCUGUUUUUGCUUCUCUGUGUUCGGGUGCUUUUGUUAUGCAUUGUGUUGUUGAGCAACAAUUGCCACCUCAUAUGGUAGAAGGAACUUUCUUCUCCUGCAGGAAGCAUGCAGCGAAACAUGAAACGAAUCAUUUUACCUUCUGGAUGUUUGUGUUCUCUAAUGUGCAAAAAAAAAACAACAA